UCUCCGUUGGUGAACCAGCGGAGGGAUCAUUACCGAGUGCAAACUCAUAACCCUUUGUGAACCUAUAUCUGUUGCUUCGUCGGCUCGCUCUCGGGCGAGCCCGCCGGUAAUAUCAGUAUCUCUGUUUGAACCCGACGAUACUUCUGAGUGUUCUUAGCGAACAGUUAAAACUUUUAACAACGGAUCUCUUGGCUCUA
rnacentral:misc_RNA from 1 species